rnacentral:rRNA from 1 species
GUACGAGAGGACCGGGAUGGACACACCUCUGGUUUACCGGUUGUGGCGCCAGCUGCACCGCCGGGUAUCCACGUGUGGAUCGGAUAAGCGCUGAAAGCAUCUAAGCGCGAAGCCGGCCCCAAGAUUAGAUUUCCCUGAGGACCGUAGAAGACGACUACGUUGAUAGGCUGCAGGUGUAAAGGCAGUGAUGUCAAAGCCGAGCAGUACUAAUAGUCCGAGACUUCGCUAA